GCGACAUUAGCUCAGUUGUGGUUUUGAUAUGGCGAUACCUUUUUUUUCAAGGUAUAGGUCAUCGGUUCGAACCCGAUAUGUCGCUCCA
rnacentral:tRNA from 3 species